UACUGGGAUUGUAUGCAGGUGCUACCAUGCCCAGCAGGGACUGGCAAUUUAUAAUGAAGUUAAAUCCACCACCUGUCAUCGGACCCAACAAUUCUUCUAGUGAUGUGUUAAAGAGACGAAUGUGUACCCUCAAAAAGAUUUACACUCAAAUGAACAGUAAGUAGCUCUGGCCAUUAUUGUCAAAAACUGGAAAGUACCAGCAUAGCCAUCAACAGAAGGCAGGAUGGGUACAGGAAGUUCAUGGAGUGAAAAAUAAUCACGUGGUGAUGAAAACUGAUACACAAGGAAGUGCAUGGACCCUGCAGCAGAGAAGAGAGCCAAGCCGCAUACAGACAGGAUGAUGCUUGAGCAAGACUGGGGGCCGAACAACAGGGGCCACAGGUGCUGGGGCAGAAGCCGAGUAUCCACUGGAAUCUGUGGGCUCCUCCCGGGCGAUAUGAUUUGGGUCUUACAGGAAUGUUACAUGAGUAUAUCCAUUGAUUAACAUGUGCACAGUGAGGCAGGUUCCAGGCAGGUCGGCGGUGGGAACGUGACGUCUCUGCACUUAAAACUCUGGAUAGCUUGAAGCUUGCAGUAAAUAAUUUAGGAAACACACAAAGAUACCAUUUUGCAGAUUAAGAGAGAGAAAACAUUGUGUCCCACGUGGUCUGCUGAGAGACAUCAAGCAGGAGCCAAGAACAAGCAGCACUCAAGGUCUUCCGAGGGCAGCUUUCUGUGACCUCACAUGGCACAGAAAGCUAGCUCACCUCCUCUCCUCACAAGAAUACUAAUCCCAUCACAGGGACACCACACCCACGAACCUACCUAAGCUUAACCACCUUUUCAGAGCCCAGCUGUAAACACCAUCAGACUCAGACAGGGACUCGGACUUGGGGCAUACAGAUACACAGUCUGGAAUUUUGGGAUAUGUUUUAUGAUACUUGGGACAACAGUACUCUUUGUUUGGGAGAAAUUUGAGCACAGCCACCUAUAUUACAACUUGCACAGGUGUCUUCCUCCAGCAGUCCAGGGUAUCAGUCCCAUGGAUGAGUGUGCAGAGAAUGAAGUGACUUUGAAAUAAGGUCAUUAGGACACUUUUCAAUACAGGAACAUUGAAGAAGACCUAACUAUCCACUGGAAGGAGAGCGGCUAUCCUUCCAUUGCAUAGAAUACAGUACCACCAUCAAAAACAACGUGCCAGGCAGGCGACUUGGCUAAGUGCUUAAGAACAGUGGCUACUCUUCUAGAAGACCCAGGUUUGAUUCCCAGCACCCACCAUGGCAGCUCACGAAUGUCUUAACUGGACCCAGUUCCAGGGAAUCUGAUGCCCUCUUCUUUCCAUUGCUUUGCAUGUACAGACAUACCAUACAUGCAGGCAAAACAGACCCAUAAAAUUAAACUUAAAACAAAAAGGUGAACUGCGAUAAUAUAAAAAAAAUACUGCCAAGUGAAAAUGACUCUAUGCUGUCCUCCCCCCUUGAUGCGAUAAAUUAUAUGAUGGAAUUACAUGCUCACGAAUAUGCAUUUAUAUGCAAAGUAUUUCUGGACAGGUAUUGAGAACAUGUUGGUUGUAUUACAGAGACUUUAGCACCUGGAAGACAGUCAGCUCUGGAAAGCUCCGCGUCAUACUACCAAUUGUCUUCUAACAUUUUGAUGAAUUGGAUGAAAACCUAACAUUCCUUUCAUCUGGAUUCUACCUCCAGGUCUCUGCUGUAAGCAGCAGGGUUUCCCCAUGACUGACCAGUUGUGUGCUUUGUGUUUCCUUCCCCUAUUGUGACCUUGUCUUAGCACUUCUAUUGCUGUCAUAAAACACCAUGACAAAACCAACUUGGAGGGAAACGGUUUAUUCUGGCUUAUAGCUUCAGAUCACAGUCAUCGCUGAGGGAAGUCAAGGCAAGAACUCACACAUGGCAGAAACUUUGAGGCAAGAGCUGAUGCAGAGUUCACGGAGGAUCAGUGCUGAUGGCCUGCUCCUCAUAGCUUGCUGUUCCUACUUUUUUAUGCCACCCAGGACCCAGGGGUUCUAUCAUCCACAGUAAGCUGCCAUCCAAUCACUGAUCAAAACAAUAACCCACAGACUUGCCUACAGGAGGCAUUUUUCUCAGUUAAGAUUCUCUUUCCUGCCUCAUGGUGGUGGUGCAUAACUUUAAUCCCAGCACUUGGGAGCCAGGACAGAGGUGGGCAGAUUUCUGAGUUCAAGGCCAGCUGGUCUACAGGACAAGUUCCAAGACAGCUAGGGCUACACAGAGAAACCCUGUCUGGGAAAGCAAAACAAAAGAUUCCCUCUUGCCAGUUGCCUCUGUUUUGUGUAGAGGUUGGCAUGAAGCUGGCCAGCACAGGCUUACAGAACUCCCUCAGUGCCACACCCAAAGGUGGCACAUCAUCAGAUGUGGUAUGUGCACCUUGCUUUUCUUUCACACAAACGAUCCCUUGUCCCUGUGUAUGUGUGCACAUGUGGAGGCCAGUCACUUCAAGGUGACACCCCCCCCCCAGCCAUCCCUCCUUGUUUUACUGUUGUUUGUGAUGUGGGCGCUCUCUAGCCUGGGGCUUCCAGUAGGCUAGGCUGGCUGUCAAACUCUGAGACCCACCUGUCUUUAUCUCCUCCAUGCUAGAUCACAGUGUGUCACUGUGCCUGCUUUAAGUUCUGACUGAAUCUGGGCCAUCACUGUUAUAAGGCAAGCACUUUACCUCAGAGCUCUCUCUCCACCCAGUCCUUUCAUUUUCUCACUCCUGUAGCAUGUCACAGUGGGCUUAUUCCAGCACACAUUUAUUAAGUUAUCACGUCUCUCAGUGCUGGGCAUCUGGGCAACUUCCAGUUCUGACUGUAAGCAAUUGUAACAAAUAUUCUUAAAUGGCACUGAAGCACUAUGGGUACCCAACUCCCAAAAGUAGGAUGGCUGGCCUAAGGAGAAGGCACUUACAAUUCCCUCAGAGGGUGCCAAACUGCCUAUGCAAGGGGCAUUCUCUGUUUCCCUGCAGCCCUGACUACAUUUAGCAAAUCAGGAAAUUUCUAAAUAUGAUAGUUCGCCAUUGUGGUCAUUUCUCUCAGUAUGUGAGCAUCUUUUUUCUAGGUUCACGGAUCAUUUGUAUUUUGUCUGGAUCAACUUGGUUCAGCUCUUACAACCAACUUUCUUACUGAGUUUUUAAAGAACUUCUUAGUCCUUUGGGUUUUUAAAGGGCUUCCUAGGUACUCUAAUCCUUUGGUGUGAGAUGGUAGGUGGUCAAGGUACAGCCCUAGCUAUGACCAUUGGGAUGAGCAAUGUCACGUGUUAGAAUGCACACAUCAUCUAACAACCCUUGUGUGCAAAUCUCUGUGGCAGUGUUGGGUCCUCUCCUGGUUCUGCACCCUCCUGUGGCCAGGCUGGACAUGAUGAGUGGAUGAGUGGCUGUAACAGAUUCCCUGCCCCACGCUCACCACAAGCAGGGCUGGCUGUACUCAUUCCGUUUUGCUUUGGGUUCUCUUGGCUGCUUCCAACCCAUUCUCCAGGUGGCCUCAGGUAUCCGUGUCUGGAACAUGGAGUAAAGCUACUCUGGGCUCUGCUCCACUUCAAGAUGGCUUCUCCCAAGCUCCAGCAGACCCACUCCAGAACCAGCACCCUGUCACCCAGUGAAGCAGAACCUCCCUCACUCCCUGUACUCUUCUCAGGCUCCUUGGUUUCUUCCCACCAACCAGCAGCUACUCCUGGUACUUCACUCUAUUCAGUCUCCUCUCUCAUAGGCAUCCCUGGGCCUCAGACCUGGCUCUCUGGGGGCCUGCUCUGACUCUUCUUAGGGACACCCAUUCUUCCCUUGCGACAAGUUCUACCCUUCCUCUAGGGGUACUCCGAAAUGGACCUCUCAAAGAUCCAAGGGGGGCAGGGAGCCUUCACCUUUGCACUGUCUUAUUCUCUCGAAGGAACUGUCCUCUCGACUGUCUUAAGGCUUGGAAGCUGCAGGCCUGAGUCCUUAUGGCUUGGGAUAUUGAGAAGCUGGGGGUUUGGGGGACCUUAAGGACUGAGAGUCUGGGAAGCUGGAGGCCAGAUACUCUGAAGACUUAAGAUUCUAGGCAGCCAGCGAUCUUAGAGUUUUAGGGUCUGAGAAACUGGGGUCUAGAAAAGUAGUUAGGACUUGGGGAUCUAGGGAGCUUGGGACCAGAGGAGCUUUAGGAGUCUGGGGCCCGGGAGCCAGGGGAGGCAGGGCCCUUAUAGGGGAACAAUCACCCGCGAAGCGCAGCCCUAUGCCUCUGCCCUUCGGCACUCAGACGUGGGUCCUUGUCUCUCCUGGAUGGAUCAAGGGAGCAGCCUCGGCUGACACCAGAGCCAGUUGUGACCAAAGGACGCUCGUUCGCACCGACCGGCAACUUCCGCCGGACAGAGCCGGCGCAGCACUCGCCAGGACACCGUGGCGACAGCGGUAGAGUUCCACCUCACGACCCUGAACACUCCCGGCCUUCUGCACACUCGCUGCGCACGCGCAGCCCCUUCGCGCAGGCGCACUCCUCACGCCCCGCGUUCUGGCGUCACGCGGCCUCCGGGCAGUGUGGCCGCCAGGAACGCCGGGUGGAAGCGCGAGCCUUGGAGAAGCUGGUUCCUGCUCGACCCGUGCCUCCUUUAGUCACUCGUGCCUUGGAGCGUCCGCGAGGGCGGGGUCCUCGUGGGAUGUGUUCAGCUUUGUGUCUGCAGAGCUGUUAGGAGGGCCUGACACCUCAUUAAUCCACAACGUUGGAGCAGUAGUGAGGAACUCUGGCUGCCACUGCUGGGGGAUUAAUCAACAACAGCAGCAGAUAUGUGCUCACUCAUCUGUAUGACAAGUCACAACGCAGGGCUAGCUGGCAUCUUCACUGUGCUAUGGGUUUUCUCCUGUGACCGCCAGCAGGUUGCUACUGCUCUAAGCAUCAGGCAUCCCCUACAUCCAGUGCCUAGAACCAACUAAACUAGUGGAGCAACAGUGUUGGUGGACAUUGGUUAAUGCCCUUGCCCACCACCUUUGGAUGAUGUGGUCUGUGAGAAGUUCCUCUCCUUUCCACUCACGCACGCAAGACUAUAUGAGUAGUCUGACAAGAUCAGUUUGAGGAAGGAGGGCUCUGUUUGGCUCUCAGCUUGAGGGUCUGGAGACACCCACGAUGGAGCAGAAAUGUGUCGGUAUGCACUGGUGUAGCUGUUGUGACAGGAGUCGGGGCAGCUGGUCACCUCAGUCAGAAAUGGGGCCUCCUAGAUUGGAUGGUGUCAACCACAUGGAUAAGGAGAUCUCUCUGGUUCAAUGCCAGCUUCUCAGCAUCACCAUAUUCUGACAGCCAAUAGGGCAUCGCCAAGCCCAGCAGAUGGGCAUGGUGACAACUGAGGCAGAGACUCGGGCACUGUGAACUGCAGAAGAGAGAGCCCUUUUGUUGUGUGAAGCCCAGGAUAUGAACAGAAAAUCGAAGAGCCCGGCCCAACCCAAGUGAUUGUGACCGGAAGAAGAAAGGUGGUGGUGGAUUUUGCUUCGUGCUUAAGGUUCCCAAAUACUAAAUACUCUGGAUACUACAGAGUAUCCAGGCCCCUCAAUCAGCCUUUGCUCCUACAGCCUCAUGCUCCCCACCACCCAGCCCACUCCUCCACGAGCCUACCUUCCCUGCCUAGUCUGAGGAAGGGGAGUGAUGGCAAAGACUGUAGCAGUUAGGGUAGAGGCUGUGUCCUCUCCAUCCUGAAACCAGUGUUGGAAAUGCUGGCAGCACUGGAAACAGAGCUUAGGGGCUGCACUUGUGACGCUAGGUAUGUCCUGUAGGGCCCAUGACCCCUUCUUUCCCCAGGGUUCCUGAGAAUGGAGGCUUCCUAGAGUGGCAGGCACGCAAGGGAUGGGGAGGUGUUCAACAGCAGCCUUGAGCUCAGUCCAUUCGGUCCAUGGUCUCCUGAGGAAGGACCAGCGUCAUCGAACGUGAGUAACCAUCUCCCCACUGAAAAAGCCUUUCUUGUGAUUCUUAGGAGAUGGACCCACAGAAGGUAUGUCACCAGCUCAGUAAGCAGUGCCACAAGGCAGGAGGACUGGGGACUGGGGACCCCUACUGUGGGUACUAUACUUGCCAAUAGAAGAGCCUGGUGGGUUGGUCCUCGGUGUGGACCACAGUCUAUGCACAGUGCCAGUCUGCUUUCCUGCUUCAGAGCAGGUCAUGGGGAGGUGGGUAAGAGCAGUUCCUGUGUUCCCUGCUAGGACAGCAGCAACGAAGGCAUGGGCCAGGGUGCUCACAGGGCAGGGAAGAGCCUGCGGUCCAAGCAGGGCCCUUGAUUUCCUGGGCUGUCCCAGGCUCCUCUCCCACCUUCUGUGCUUGCUCACACUUUGACCUCCAUUGCUGGUGAGACGUUGUGCCAGAGCUCAGCCUUCAUCCUCACAGCACCCCCUCUGUUGCUGUCAGUCUCCACAGGCUCCAUUUUCAUGAGGCACUUGGGAUGAGAGCUCACCUGAUUCCACUGUACCAACUGUGUUCCCACAUGACAAUUACCUUUGAACUCCGGAACAUCAGGCACACCCUAGCAUCCCUGGGCUUUUGACACCGUGAGGCCCCAGUUCCAGCUGUGAUGCUGCAGUCAUUUACCUGGCUGGUGCAGAAGCUCCUUCUCCAACUACCACGUCUGUGGCACAGGAAGAUCUGGGCAGUGAAGGCUGCAUGGGCUCCAGGGCAGCAAAACACUUCCAGGAGCACCACACUGUCAAGGAGGGAAGUAUAGUCCUCCAUCAGUCCCUCCUGCAGGAAGCAUGUCACCAUGAAGAUGAAGCCUCCCAGCAGGUCCUUGCAGGAGCCUCUGAAGACUCAUCGCCCCGUACCAUCACACCAGUCCUGCAUUUAAGCACAGACUCUGAGCUCAAAACAUGAGCUGCUUCCACUUCAUUGCCUCUUGAAUGACCCCUGGCUGCAAAUGACGUUUGUGGAAAGAUUUCUGUGAGGCUGUCAGGGAGGGGACCCAGUGUGCUCUCCCACAGGGGACAGAGCUUUGCUGCGAAUGAAGUGAGCUUGGUGCCACUAGAAGAGUGGGGAGUGGCCUCCUUAAGGGUGCCAUGUUUGCUGCCUUGGCCAUCUUGUGUGAAGACUGCAUAGCUUGUGGAUGAGCCACUAUGUGUCCUUUUGUCCACCCGGAGGCCCCUCUGCAGGUGAUGUCUUUGAUGGCAUUUCCCCUAAAGAUAAAUGUCCUCACUGUACACCUCAAGGGAUCUGUAAACCUGUCUCCCAGCUGUAUCCCAUCUUCCCUCGUAUGAGCUACACCUUACCAGCCCAUGUAAAUGCCUCUUCUGGAAGAUAAAGCAGACUAC